rnacentral:rRNA from 1 species
CAGCCGCCGCGGUAAUACGGAGGGUGCAAGCGUUAAUCGGAAUUACUGGGCGUAAAGCGCGCGUAGGUGGUUUGUUAAGUUGGAUGUGAAAGCCCCGGGCUCAACCUGGGAACUGCAUCCAAAACUGGCAAGCUAGAGUACGGUAGAGGGUGGUGGAAUUUCCUGUGUAGCGGUGAAAUGCGUAGAUAUAGGAAGGAACACCAGUGGCGAAGGCGACCACCUGGACUGAUACUGACACUGAGGUGCGAAAGCGUGGGGAGCAAACAGGAUUAGAUACCCCCGUAGUCCCUGUCUCUUAUAC